rnacentral:rRNA from 1 species
UACGGGGGGGGCAAGCGUUGUUCGGAAUUACUGGGCGUAAAGGGCUCGUAGGUGGCCAACUAAGUCAGACGUGAAAUCCCUCGGCUUAACCGGGGAACUGCGUCUGAUACUGGAUGGCUUGAGUUCGGGAGAGGGAUGCGGAAUUCCAGGUGUAGCGGUGAAAUGCGUAGAUAUCUGGAGGAACACCGGUGGCGAAGGCGGCAUCCUGGACCGAGACUGACGCUGAGGAGCGAAAGCCAGGGGAGCAAACGAG